AGCCGCAUGCAUUUCUGAUUACCA
rnacentral:siRNA from 1 species